rnacentral:rRNA from 1 species
GACGAACGCUGGCGGCGUGCUUAACACAUGCAAGUCGAACGGAAAGGCCCUGCUUUUGUGGGGUGCUCGAGUGGCGAACGGGUGAGUAACACGUGAGUAACCUGCCCUCGACUUUGGGAUAACUUCAGGAAACUGGGGCUAAUACCGGAUAGGAGCUCCUGCUGCAUGGUGGGGGUUGGAAAGUUUCGGCGGUUGGGGAUGGACUCGCGGCUUAUCAGCUUGUUGGUGGGGUAGUGGCUUACCAAGGCUUUGACGGGUAGCCGGCGUGAGAGGGUGACCGGCCACAUUGGGCCUGAGAUACGGCCCAGACUCCUGCGGGAGGCAGCAGUGGGGAAUAUUGCACAAUGGGCGGAGGCCUGAUGCAGCAACGCCGCGUGCUGGAUGACGGCCUUCGGGUUGUAAACCGCUUUCGCCUGUGACGAAGCGUGAGUGACGGUAAUGGGUAAAGAAGCACCGGCUAACUACGUG